AUGAAUCCUGAGUUACAUCCAGUAAGAGAAAAUCAAUGUGCUGCAUUUCCUGGGGAGGGUGUUGGCAAAACUACCAGGCAUGCUACUUUUCCAAAAUCUCAAAUGUCAAACAUCCGGUCUGGCUAACAGCUGGACUCCAGCUGAACCCCCUCACCGGCAACAGCUGCACAUCAGCCGUGGACUUCAUCCUCAUGGGAAAUGUUUUCCCACGCUAAAAGUAGUACAGUCGAGAGGCCAGGGAGCGAGUCUCCAUGCAGUCAACACGCAUGCCGAUGAAAAAGGGAAUUGCGCACCAAACGGUCAGUCAUCUACUCCAAGAUCUCCCCCCGGCUCUCUUUUGGGAGCCGAUCAUUUCCCAAGAGAAGCAUUGACUCGCUGCACAUGCCGCUAACAUGAAUGCCUUUUCCAAGCAGACAUGCCCAGUGUUCUCCCUGAAUGCAGCAGGACGGCUUCCAUUCACCGCAGCGUGUCAUCAAGUGGCUCCAUUCGGGUGGGCGCCGUCAAAACGCGCUUGUCGUCCGCUUGUGUGCGUAUCGCAGCACAUGAUUUUCAUUCCCAGCUCGACGACAGCGAGAGCGCCGUGAAUGCGCGUGCGAUCGCCCCCUGAACGGCGGAUUACUGGAGAGUCUGCAGCCCGCAUGCGCACUACCCCCCCACCCCCCCAGCCCCCACCGGCAGAAAACGAAGCUGGCAGGCAGGAGAUUGAAACAAAUCUCAACAGGGUCUGAGCUGUGAGGUUUGAGUCAUUAUUAAGGAAAUGCAGCGGUGGCAAAAGUACCGACCAUCUGCACUCAAGAAUAUGUACCGGUGCUUUUGUAAGGAAAACAAAUAACUGUGAAUUUAGAAGAAAAGUAAGAAGUAAAAAUAAUUAGUCUUUUUUUUAAACUGUCCAUUGUUUGCAAUACCCAUUAUAUCCACAACAAGUGGGAAAUUAGGGAUACACCAAUGACCGAGUACAAGUACUUGCCGAUACCAAAAUACCGAGACUUGACAAUGCCAUAACAUCUUACAAUUGUGAUGAGCACCUUUUUUUCACAACACACACACACAAAACCUUUUCUUGAACAUGUCAUACCUUUCAUUCAAAUCAAAUGUUUCAGAGUAACCACAUUACUGCUAUUUCAAUGUCCAACUGCAUGUACUGCUUAUGCGGCCUGUAAACAAGCCACUUCAGUUAGGUGUCGUCUCAGUCUGAACACGCGGGGCGUGUAAAAGGAGGGGGGAGGUAAGAAAUGUAGAUCAUGUUAGAAGAAAAAAAAAAAAAAGAGGCAAGAAAGAAAAUAGAGUCGCGGGCGUAUCCAAAGUAGAUAGUCGAUAAAAAUAACUUCACUUUUGGUUGCACACGAUUAACUGUGUGAUAAACUAAUGUCAUUUCCCCCUCUGUAUCUUAAAAUAAAUCCGAUGAUAUGUUAUUUUCAAACAUUUCAAUCAUGUGCAUCUGAUGUCAAUGUUGAAAUCAAAUGAAAGUGGCUCUACUCCACUCUGAGAGACUGCCUCGGGGCCCACAAAAACAUCAAGACCAGUUGGUUGAGCUCGUGUUUUUAAAACUGGAACUCAAAAAUGCACAAACAUCACACAUGGCAACGCACCCCACUCGCUGCCGAGACUCCUCUCAAGCUCAGCCGCGCGUUUGAUUGACCUUACAACGUCCACCGCAGCAUGCCUGCAAUUGUGUUAAGUCAAACCAACUGUCAAUCUCCGGAAUCAAUGGUUUAAAAAAAAAAAAAAAAGAACUUCGCAUAAUAAAGAGUGUUUUUUUUUUUUUUAAACUAGCAAAGGGUUAACAAACAAGAAGAUGGCAGUCGGUGACCACGCUGCUCAUCACCACUCUGCUGUCCCUUCACAUUACUGAGAUAAGCCUUCAAACUUCCCCUCACUCUUCCACUUCAUCUCACUUUGUUGACCUCAUUCCUAAUCUUCGCUGAAUUCAUUGCUCACCCGGAAAAGACCGCAUUUAAAAAAAA